CAUCCUUUCAAAUGUGUUUGCAAAUUAGAGGUUGCUUUUGCUGGUGUGACUAUGCAGAACACUGUGGUGAGUCGGUCAGAACUCCAAAGAAAGCAGAGUCGUACUCCAGGUGAUUCAACUCGUACUUGCGGUUUAUUUAGGUAAUUGUGUGUGGUUCCUGAAAUUAAACAACAAUACAGCGUCAAUGUCUGAAUAAACUGACUGAAGUAGCAUCACACAUACUGAAUAACUGCACAUUUCUACAUAAAUACACGAC